GGUUGAGUAAUGAUGAUGCAUUUAUUUGGACUAGAGUUUCUGAUCUCUGGCAAUUCAUUUGUCACUGAUUGAAGACUAACCCUUGGCUGUCUGAUCUCAAUC